UACGGGGGGAGCAAGCGUUGUUCGGAUUUACUGGGCGUAAAGGGCGCGUAGGCGGUCGUGACAAGUCACUUGUGAAAUCUCCGGGCUUAACUCGGAACGGUCAAGUGAUACUGUCGGACUAGAGUGCGGAAGGGGCUACUGGAAUUCUCGGUGUAGCGGUGAAAUGCGUAGAUAUCGAGAGGAACACCUGCGGCGAAGGCGGGUUGCUGGGCUGAUACUGACGCUGAGGCGCGAAAGCCAGGGGAGCGAACGGG
rnacentral:rRNA from 1 species